GGGCCCGUAGUCUAGCUUGGCUAGGAUGCGGGGUACACGUCCCCGUGGUCCCGGGUUCAAAUCCCGGCGGGCCCA
rnacentral:tRNA from 1 species